rnacentral:lncRNA from 1 species
ACGCUCUGGAGGAGAGGCUUGGUAAGCAGUGGGACCAGAUCCCCAAACUGCCAUCACAUGACAGCAUCCGCAUUUCACCAGGGACCCAUGAGCAGCUCAGGGAAGAGUGGAUCCCCAGUGACGGCUUCACUCAAGAGCCAGCAGAAGUCCUUUAGGCCUGCAUGACUCAGCCUCAGGGAAAGCUCAUCCUCAUCUUAAAAUCAAGGGGUAUGUAGAAGCAAGCUCCAGGCUCAGGGCCCUGGAGCCUAGGAUCCUGGGAAUGACGCUGCAGGAGUGAUCUUGGACAAGUCAAUGAUGUCCUCAGGACAGCAAUGCUUCCAAGCUAGAGGCAUUCAAGGAGUGGCCCGGAGAACAUGUCAUUCAGGGCCUGGAAGAUUUCCAUCAGCAUUCAGAUGUCAGGAGCAAUGGAGCACCAGUGGUGGAAGAACCUACCUCCCCUGGCUCCAUCAAAGGCCACAGGCCCAUGAGAAUCACCCAGCCUACUCUGAGCGGCACACUCGGAGACCACAGCCGCGCACAGGAAAGCGAGAGGAAGUGGAAACGUGCGAGCAGAGGGCUCAAAGCAACGGGC